CCUGGCUCCAGGAAGAUGUCCUGAGGGGCUGAGGCGCCUCUGUACACACAGGCUCUGAAGUCUGGCAAGCCUGAGGGCAGGAGGUACGCAAAGAGGAAAGUUGGCAGGCUUAAGUGCUGUGCAGGGGAAGCCAGGCUCCCUGAGCUUCCCAGACUUGGGAGUGGGUGGGAGUCCAACCCAUACUUUUGCCCACAGGCGGAUAUUGUGAGGAACACAGGAAGUUGAAAAGCACCAAUCGCUUCCGAAACAGCUUAAUUUAUUUGACACCAGAUCUCGCGGGAUCACGGAGCCAGAUCUCACGGGAUUACAGAGCCAGAUCACGCGGGCUCUGGGAAGUAGUUCUGGGUCUGAGUAGGGUUAGGUGGAAUAGGAGACAAAGGGCAUGAUGGUUAUCAGGCAGGCCUCUAGUCGAAUAAAGAAAAUAGGUUCAUAUAGGGUCUGAAGUGAACUAUUCGCGAUAUCUCCUUACCGACGGAUCCGUGCACAGAAAAGCUGCCCCAGGAAGAUGACAUGAUCCUGGGUGUGAUGAUGUAUGUGGCAGUGAAUAUCGUGAGAAGCUGUACUCUCAACCCUAGUUCAACAGAGUUCAGCAAGUUCUUGUGUUCACUCUAACACAAUAUACACUGUGAAACUGCUUUAUUUCAAAUUAGAUGUGACAGAAUAAUAGGAGUAGAAAUGACUCAACUGGCCUUUGUGACAUGGUUGGUUACUGGAAAAGGGACAAAGUCUGUCUAUUCCAUUGCAUCAUUCUUCUGGAACCUUGAUAAUAGCCAAUUAUACUUCCUUAACAGCAUCAUUGCUUGCAGUUGGCAAGGACCAGAGAGAGAAAACAAGGUCACACUGCUAGUAAGGUGUGGUUUCAGGAUUCAACUUCAGUAAAUCUAACUCCAAAACUGUGCUCUUUUCUGCUAUUUUGUAUAUUUUGCUACUGCUAUUUCAAACAUUGGCCUUCAACUCUUAAAAGACCACCAGGAAAAUCUGUAACCAGGCAAUGGACUAUUUCAUAUAAUAGAGUUUCUUGCUCAUGUGUUUAAGGAAUGGCUUGGUCAUCUCUGAUAAAAGACUUCCACUGAGUUCAGGUAAUUUCACCUGUACCAAUUUUGGACUUUGGUUGAGGACAGCAGAUACAGGGAACAUUUACUUUUCAUGGAGGAAAUGGAAGUUCCUAGAGAGGUUUAAUAAAUCGUCUGUGCACCUGAAUAUUUUAAAUACAUUAUGAUCACAGACCUUGACAUCUGGUGCAGUUGUGCCGAGACCAAAAGUCUUAACUGAGGUUGCAUUCUAUAAUGACCUGCUAUAUUUCAUUUUGAGAGAAAGAAAGAGUACGAGUGGGUGAGAAGCAGAGAGAGAGGGAAACAGAGAAUCCAAGAAGGCUCCGUACUGUCAGUACAAAAAUGGAUGUGGGGCUCAAAAGUGUGAACCGUGAGAUCAUGACCUGAGCCAAAGUUGGACACUCAACCAACUGAGCCACCCAGGCACCCGUA